rnacentral:rRNA from 1 species
UACAGAGGGUGCAAGCGUUGUUCGGAAUUAUUGGGCGUAAAGCGCACGUAGGCGGUUUGUUAAGUCGGAUGUGAAAUCCCUCGGCUCAACUGAGGAAGUGCAUCCGAAACUGGCAGGCUUGAGUACUAAAGAGGGUCGCGGAAUUCCCGGUGUAGAGGUGAAAUUCGUAGAUAUCGGGAGGAACACCGGUGGCGAAGGCGGGUCUCUGGGCCGAUACUGACGCUGAGGAGCGAAAGCGUGGGGAGCGAACAGG